rnacentral:rRNA from 1 species
AUUGAACGCUGGCGGCAUGCUUUACACAUGCAAGUCGAACGGUAACAGGCCGCAAGGUGCUGACGAGUGGCGAACGGGUGAGUAAUGCAUCGGAACGUGCCCAGUCGUGGGGGAUAACUACUCGAAAGAGUAGCUAAUACCGCAUACGAUCUAUGGAUGAAAGCGGGGGACCGUAAGGCCUCGCGCGAUUGGAGCGGCCGAUGUCAGAUUAGGUAGUUGGUGGGGUAAAGGCUCACCAAGCCAACGAUCUGUAGCUGGUUUGAGAGGACGACCAGCCACACUGGGACUGAGACACGGCCCAGACUCCUACGGGAGGCAGCAGUGGGGAAUUUUGGGCAAUGGGCGCAAGCCUGAUCCAGCAAUGCCGCGUGCAGGAAGAAGGCCUUCGGGUUGUAAACUGCUUUUGUACGGAACGAAACGGCUCUGGUUAAUACCCGGGGCUAAUGACGGUACCGUAAGAAUAAGCACCGGCUAACUACGUG